rnacentral:rRNA from 1 species
UACGUAGGUGGCGAGCGUUGUCCGGAUUUACUGGGCGUAAAGAGCGCGCAGGCGGUCGUUCAAGUCGCGUGUGAAAGCCCCCGGCUCAACUGGGGAGGGUCACGCGAUACUGAUCGACUCGAAGGCAGGAGAGGGAAGUGGAAUUCCCGGUGUAGUGGUGAAAUGCGUAGAUAUCGGGAGGAACACCAGUGGCGAAGGCGGCGACCUGGACGAGCACUGACACUCAACUACGAAAGCGUGGGGAGCAAACAGG